rnacentral:rRNA from 1 species
CAGUCGCCGCGGUAAUGCGUAGGUGCAAGCGUUGUCCGGAAUUAUUGGGCGUAAAGGACUCGCAGGCGGUUUCUUAAGUCUGAUGUGAAAGCCCCCGGCUCAACCGGGGAGGGUCAUUGGGAACUGGGAAACUUAAGUGCAGAAGAGGAGAGUGGAAUUCCACGUGUAGCGGUGAAAUGCGUAGAGAUGUGGAGGAACACCAGUGGCGAAGGCGACUCUCUGGUCUGUAACUGACGCUGAGGAGCGAAAGCGUGGGGAGCGAACAGGAUUAGAUACCCCAGUAGUCCCUGUCUCUUAUACC